rnacentral:rRNA from 1 species
AGACGGGGGGUGCUAGCGUUGUUCGGAAUUACUGGGCGUAAAGGGCGCGUAGGCGGCUCUGCGAGUCGGGCGUGAAAUCCCGGGGCUCAACCCCGGAACGGCGCUCGAUACUGCGGGGCUGGAGACCGGAAGAGGAGGGUGGAAUUCCCAGUGUAGAGGUGAAAUUCGUAGAUAUUGGGAGGAACACCGGUGGCGAAAGUGGCUCUCUGGUCCGGUUCUGACGCUGAGGCGCGAAAGCGUGGGGAGCAAACAGGAUUAGAAACCCUAGUAGUCC